rnacentral:rRNA from 1 species
ACGGCAUCGCUGGGUAGCUAUGUAUGGACGGGAUAAGUGCUGAAAGCAUCUAAGCAUGAAGCCCCCCUCAAGAUGAGAUUUCCCAACUUCGGUUAUAAGAUCCCUCAAAGAUGAUGAGGUUAAUAGGUUCGAGGUGGAAGCAUAGCGAUAUGUGCAGCUGACGAAUACUAAUCGAUCGAAGACUUAAUCAA